UCCCUUUUCCAUCCUAGGCUGAACCCAUCUUACCUUGUUUGUCCCAAGAAGCAAAGCAGCAUUGGAGCUUUAUAAUACUUGGAUAGGUGACUGCAUGGAAAACCGAGCUACUGUGGGAA
rfam:Egretta garzetta contig69916, whole genome shotgun sequence.